UCCUAUGAUGGCAUGGAAUCUUUGAUACCUGAUCUUCAUAUUUGAUGAAGAACACAAGUGUUUUUUGUCUGAGGAU
rnacentral:snoRNA from 1 species